UUCUCUUUCUCCUCCCUUCUCUUUUCUUCUCUCUCCCUUCUCCUUCUCCUUUCCUUUCCCCUUUUUACCCUUUUUUUUAUGUCUUUCUUCACAUAUCUAAUAAGAAGGAAAGUAGAGACACACCGUGCUACCAUUAGGGUUUAGGAUUUGACAUCAAGGAUGUCGUAGUUGCCGUUGAUUUUGGAAAACUGCGUGUGAUGGUUAACCAAGUGAAUAGAUUUAUUUGUUUGUUUAUUUUCCAUUUAGCUCUGUAGAUUUUGUCUUUAUUUUAUGAUUUUAUGAUGAAUCUAAGUUUUUGUUCCAAUUAAUCAAAUGUUGUAUCUUUGAUUUUUUCUGUUAUGCUUAGCUUACAUGGUAAAAAUGGUAAGACUUACACUUUGAAAAAAAUGUUUGUAAAGCUAGAGUUUAGUUUUUGCAUUUUUGACUUUGAAUGAAUUUAAAAGUAAUACUAAUUUCAAAAUACUGUUUUUUGGGAAAGCUCUCCGUGGAUACAUAAUACAUUCCAUUUAGUAAUGGAAGGUAUUUUUUUUAAAAAAAACUAUAGUAACUCUUAAUGGACAAGAUUAAACGUUGGGAGAUCCUACACACAUCUUCCGACGCCGUAAUCUUGUGCGUUGGGAGAUCCACUCUUGACACAUUUUGUCCAACUUUGAUCUCGCUGCACGUUUAUGCGUCAGAAUAUCCUUUCUCGGCGCUUUUUCUUUUAUCUCUCAACGAUUUUGUGCAUUGAGCGAUACCCUUUUCUUUGAGUAUAGAUAGAUAGUUCAUUUUUCAUUUUUGUGGGUGUGUGAUAUAUUCUGGGCCAUUGUGAAAGAAUCUGUAUUGUCAUCCCUAACCUUCAUUCUCUUUAUCUUUAGGUCAGCGUUUAAAUUAAGAGUUGUUGUCACACUUUGCCCCGCAUCUGUCCAAAAAAAUUGCAAAGUGGUUAAGACGAGACGCGAGGAUGGUCAGCUUAGAUCCUUAAGCUUAGCUUAAAUAAGGCCGAUGAUUGGACACUUAAGCUUAAACUCACCCUUAAGAUAGGAUGGACCUCCGACUCGCUAUUUGUUGUCAUGCUCCCAUCCAUUUCACAUUUUUCUCGAGAAUUCUGAUGGCUUGAGCCCGAACUAGAUCCUUACACUCCGAAGAUUACUCAGACCCAUCAAGAACUUUAUUUUAAGUUAAUUCAGAUGUCUCUACUUCUGAUUGCGCUCGAUAUCUUUACGAUGAUCUGUAUUUCGAAACUAUGUAAAAAGAUUCUGAAGCUCCCUGAUAUUUUGGACCCUCAAAUUGGUUCUACCAAAUUGGAGAAAUGUUUUCUUUUAAGGACAAGGGUUUUAUGCCAAUCAAAGCAAGGUUUAAAGUCAUUCAAUCUAACCCAUGGAUUUCCUUUUUUGGUCUUACAGAGUAAACACACUUUAACGUUGCAACGUUUCCAGGGAAGUCAAGGAGAAACGAUGGGAGGGAGCGCAUAUAAUAAACCCUAAACCAUAUGAAUAAGAAAAGAAAUUUUUCUUUAAAACUUAUAAGCUAAAAGGUGGUUGGAGCAAGAGUCGUGCAUGUGUGUGAUGUGAGGCUGUGAGCAUCAUCUAUACGUUCCUUUGCCUGUUGAAUAUCAAGCUUCAGAUGUACAAAUAGUGGUAAAUGAAAAUCUAGUUAAUUUUCUUCUUAAAUCUUUGUACAUUAACUUGAGAUGAGAUUUAAACAUUUUUCUCCUUUGACAUUA